AUACGGAGGGUGCAAGCGUUAAUCGGAAUUACUGGGCGUAAAGAGUACGUAGGUGGUUUGUUAAGUCAGAUGUGAAAGCCCCGGGCUCAACCUGGGAACUGCAUUUGAAACUGGCAAGCUAGAGUAUGGUAGAGGGGGGUAGAAUUUCUAGUGUAGCGGUGAAAUGCGUAGAUAUUAGAAGGAAUACCAGUGGCGAAGGCGGCCCCCUGGACCAAUACUGACACUGAGGUACGAAAGCGUGGGUAGCGAACAGGAUUAGAAACCCUUGUAGUCC
rnacentral:rRNA from 1 species